rnacentral:rRNA from 1 species
UACGUAGGGGGCAAGCGUUGUCCGGAAUCAUUGGGCGUAAAGCGCGUGUAGGCGGUUCGGUAAGUCCGCUGUGAAAGUCGGGGGCUCAACCCUCGAAUGCCGGUGGAUACUGUCGGGCUAGAGUGCGGAAGAGGCGAGUGGAAUUCCUGGUGUAGCGGUGAAAUGCGCAGAUAUCAGGAGGAACACCAAUUGCGAAGGCAGCUCGCUGGGACGCUACUGACGCUGAGACGCGAAAAGCGUGGGGGAGCAAACAGG